GCGAGAAACCUUUGCAAUGUGCGAAAGCACGACAAGGUUAAUCCGAGUGUCUUCUGCUAAAGAAGUCUUUUGUUAGUCAUAGAACCACUGAUGAAUAAGGGGUGGGCAAGUUCUGGUGUCAGCCGCCGCGGUAAAACCAGCACCUCGAGUGGUCAGGAGGUUUAUUGGGCCUAAAGCAUCCGUAGCCGGUUGUUUAAGUUUUCGGUUAAAUCUAUGCGCUUAACGUAUAGGCUGCCGAAAAUACUGGACAGCUAGGGAGUGGGAGAGGUACACGGUACUCAAUAGGAAGGGGUAAAAUCCUUUGAUCUGUUGAUGACCACCUGUGGCGAAGGCGGUGUACCAGAACACGUUCGACGGUGAGGGAUGAAAGCUGGGGGAGCAAACCGG
rnacentral:rRNA from 1 species